CUGGAUGUGAAGAGCAGCCUUCUGUCUAGAGACGGCUGAGCCUAAAACAAGUCUAGUUCAGCCUUCCAGAGGCUGGAAAGGAUGAAUGCACAUCUCACCCAACAGUUUUAGGCAGGCAGAAGAUAAAUUCCAGGCUCCGUUUGCUCCCGAACACGAGAGAUCGGCAAAGAAUUCCAGAACACAUCCAACGUAGAAGACUCUGUCUUGAAUCUGGUUGGAAGCCACGCCAUGCAUUCUGGGAGCAAAGGGUUUGAUACAACACUAGAAUCUUGAACAGCUGUGGGAACGAGGGUGUCAGGGCAAUGCACAGAAACCAGAUGU
rnacentral:lncRNA from 1 species